rnacentral:rRNA from 1 species
GCUCAGGAUGAACGCUGGCGGCACGCUUAACACAUGCAAGUCGAACGGAGUUACAAGAUAAGCUUGCUUAAUUUGUAACUUAGUGGCGGACGGGUGAGUAACACGUGAGCAAUCUGCCCUUAAGAGGGGGAUACCAGUUAGAAAUGACUGUUAAUACCGCAUAAGAUAGUAGUAUCGCAUGAUACAGCUAUAAAAGAUUUAUCGCUUAAGGAUGAGCUCGCGUCUGAUUAGCUGGUUGGUGAGGUAACGGCUCACCAAGGCAACGAUCAGUAGCCGGACUGAGAGGUUGGACGGCCACAUUGGGACUGAGACACGGCCCAGACUCCUACGGGAGGCAGCAGUGGGGAAUA